UAUAUCGGAACGUGCCCAGUAGUGGGGAGUAGCCCGGCGAAAGCCGGAUUAAUACCGCAUACGACCUGAGGGUGAAAGCGGGGGAGUCGCAAGACCUCGCGCUACUGGAGCGGCCGAUAUCAGAUUAGCUAGUUGGUGGGGUAAAGGCCUACCAAGGCAACGAUCUGUAGUUGGUCUGAGAGGACGACCAGCCACACUGGGACUGAGACACGGCCCAGACUCCUACGGGAGGCAGCAGUGGGGAAUUUUGGACAAUGGGCGCAAGCCUGAUCCAGCAAUGCCGCGUGCAGGAAGAAGGCC
rnacentral:rRNA from 1 species